GAUGACGUCAGAUACAAAUAUGGCGUUUUGGACGGGUUCAAUAGUUUGCUUGGCGUCUACUCAAGUAAUGCUGAUAGUAUAGCAAGAAGGUAUUCUGAGCAUUGUAUCAAUGGGGAAGUUCUAGAUCUUUUGCAAAGCAGGAGUUACACAAUGCCUCCUAGUCUCUUUCUUGCUCUAAAGAUUGGGACUGCCCCACAAGUUCAAAGUCCAAUCAGGUGCUGGAACUCAUAGGCUGAAGGGAAGAGAAUCAGGAAAGGUGCUCUUCAUGAAAUCCAGAGGGAAGUUUUCCUUAAGCCUUUUAAUCCCACCCACUUUGGACUGACAUAGGAAGUGAUUACUACAGAGCUUGUCUAUGGGUGCUGGGAUGAGGGGUGCUUUCUUUCCCAUCUAUAUAAAUUCUUUUCUUGCCACUAGCUCAGCUCUCAGCAGAUGUAUCUAUUUAGGCAGCACUUGAAUGUGGCUGUUAAUAUAAAUUUCUGCUUUACUAUUUCCACAGCACCCCUCAACAGGGUGCUAUUAUACAAUAUUACAGAUGAA
rnacentral:antisense_RNA from 1 species